GAUCGUACUAAAAUCCUUUGUAAACAAACUCUUAUUGAGUUUGUUUCGUUUUUAUAUGAUUUUUACAUUGUUUUUAUAGAUAUUUUUCGUUAGAUCUGUUUAAUCUUCGUUGAGUACUGAUUACAUUCGUAAGCUCUGUCCUUAAAGGUACAGUAUAUAUUUAGGUUUUUUGUUUUUUCUUUUUAUAUGUGUAUACAGUACAUUAUGUUCAAAUAAGUACAGUUGAUAAACUGUUUAAUUUAUAUAUUGAGCCUUUUGUAAAGAUAACCCUCGUGGACUGUGAUCAUUUUGGAUAGAGAUUUCUUGCUCUAGUUAUCCAAAUGAACUUGCGUUAUCAAUUAUCUAUCUAAUUUUUUUUUUUAGAUUUAUUAAUUGUGCCAUUCUUUUUAAAUCCUCCUUGCCGUUUUCUCUUGCCAUACCAAUAACUGUUCGGUUACGAUCGCUCACACUAUCGUACAUUUAUGUUUGUCGUCAAGUAUCUUGUACGUGUUUAAACAUUAAUUCAACGUCAAUAUGAUGGAAGAUAGUGUUGAAUAUGUUUAGGUACUGUAUAAAUGUAACGUAUAUGCCUGGUUAGGAAUGUGAUGCGAAUUUUUCAAAUGGAAAAAAGAUUGGAAAGUUUCAGAUAUGUAGAAUGCCAAUUGUAGAAUGUAUCUUUACACAACAAUUUUAGAUUUUUCAUUUGAAGUAGGCGAAAUAAACUUUUAAUCGAGGAGAAGACUAUGAGAAAGAGGAUUUCUAAACCAAUGAUAAUUUUUAACAUAAUGUUGAAACUAAUAAUGUCAACGGUUUUUACUAUAUUCAUUAUAACCAACUUUUUUGAAGUAUUGCAUCUGUGUUGUAUAAUACUUUCAUACUUAAAGAUCAAAUGUCACAGCACAACGAUGAUUAAUUAUUAAACUAAUGCACUAUUUAAAGAACUAUCUAAUCGAUAUAGACAAUAGCCCAAUAGUUUUUGACAUAGUCUCUUGAGAAAUGUCACUUUUAAUUUGAUUAUACUUUGUUCGAUAAAUGAUAUUUUCUUUCCAAAAGUAAUAAACAAUUGAGAGAAAAUCCAAGAGAGUUAUAAAAUUAUCGUAUGGUUGAUCCUCGUUGUUGACUCUUCCGCAUCAUGUUUCUAGCGUGAUACGUUUUAGCAAGUAACACGAAAAUUCAGGUUUCGUCAGACCUCAAGUAUAAUGAUAUAAUAAGAAUAUGACAUACAUAGUAUAUACUAAAAGUUGUAUAUAUCUAUAUAUUUAUAUUUAUAUAUAUAUAGAUAUAUAUAGAUACAUAAAUAUUAUAUUAUAAAAGUAUAAGAGAAUGAGCUGUAUUAAAAUACUCCACCGCCACGUAUUUGUAAUCGUAAAUAACAACAACAACAACAAAAAAGAGAGUACACCUUAGACGGUACAUUUAGUAAGUAAGUUUGUAUACAAGACAACAAAAAUACGACGUAAAUUGAGAAAGAAAAAAAUUAGUGCGCGUGCGAAAGCGAGAAAAGAGAGAGAGAGAGAGAGAGAGAGAGAGAGAGAGAGAGAGAGAGAGAGAGAGAGAGAGAGAGAGAAAGAAAGAAUGAAAGUGAGAGCGAGAAAGGAUGAGAGAGAACAAGAGAAAGAAAAGUCGAAGAAGAAAGAGCGAGAGAUAGUCUCCUAAAACAGAGCAAGCCAAAUAUGGAGCUACUGAAGAAAAAACUCGCAAUGUCGAUAUUGUGUGUAUGUGUAGUUAUAUCGAGAAUUCAAAGAGAAAGAGAGAGAGAGAGAGAACAAAAAAAAUGCCGUGCGUAUUAUUGAUCUAAUCAUGCGAAGAGAAAAUAAUUAAUAAAAUAUAGCUUUAUGAUUUAUACAACGGAGUUGAGUGAUGAGAAGAAAGUUUUCCAAAAAUUGUACAUCUUUACAAAAAUAAUGUAAAAUGUGACAUCACAAAAUGGUCUAUUCAAAAGCUAUGAUUAAGAAAACGGUGUUCUCGUAUUCGACGGAUUUUUUAUACUUUUUAAUGAAAAAAGAAAAUAAUAAUAAUAAUAAUAAUAAUAAUAAUAAUAAUAAUAAUAAUAAUAAUAAUAAUAAUAAUAAUUAAACAAAGUAAAUUAUCCGUCUCUUCGAGUAAAUAGAAGUUGGUGUUCCUAAGAAAAAAAAAGGAAAGAAAAGAAAAAAAAAUGAAAAGAAAGAACGAUAUUUAAAUAGUUCUCACUUUUUCUUUCUCUUCUCUUCUCUCACUCUCUUUCUCUCUCUCUCUUUCUCUCUCUCUCUUUCUCUGUCUUUCUCUCUCUCUCUCUCUCUUGGUUUUUCUCUCUUUUUCUCUCAAAAUAAAAGGAAAAACAAUUCUCCAGUGCCUUCGCAUAGCGCUGGAAUUUUUCGUAUUUCUUCUAACUUUUUCGAUGAGUGAAAUAAAAGAAAUGGCGUUGUGCGUGACUCUUUUUGGAACACCGCGUAUAUGUACUUGCUACUUCCUCCAUUUUCUUUUUCGCAUAUAAGGUCUUCGCGCGGUAAAGUUCAUAUACGCGAAAGAAAGAGAGAGAGAGAAAAAGAAAGAGACAGAAAUAACGACAAAAAGUAAGGUUAAAUAUUUUUGGUAAUGAAAACGAUACAAAUCAUCGAAAACGACGACGAUGAUAAUAAUGAUGAUGAUGAUGAUGAUAAUGAUGAUAAUGAUGACGAUGAUGAUAAUUAUGAUAAUGAUGAUGAUGAUGACGAUGAUGAUGAUGAUGAUGAUAAUGAUCAUUGCACCUUGUUAUUGACAAAUUCGUACAAGUAUCGAUGAAAGAUACGAUAGAGAAAAAAAGAAGAUAUUGACAUAUUGACAUCCAUGUUUCUUUGUUUUUUUAAUUUUUAAUUUUUCUUUUGAACACUUUUGAACACGUUCAACAUGUUUCAAAGGGCUUUAAUUUUUUUUAUUUCAAAACACAUUUAGAAAUCGUGUACUUAAUCAUUCGUGCGACUCAAAAUGCAAAAUAAUGUAUUUUUACAUUGCGCUAUUUGAAUAUAUUCUCUACACAUACGUACAUACAUAAAUACACACAUACAUAUAUAUAUAUAUCAUAUACUUAAAUCGAUAAGUACGUAAUAUACUUAAUUUGAUCGCUUUGAGUUAAAUAAUUAGACAUAUUUUUUGUACAUUUCGUGCGUUAAUUUUUGUCAACAUUUUUCUUUUUUUUUUUUUUUUUUUUACGUAGUAACGUUUUUAGCGGGAAAUUCAAAGAUGAGAAGUAGAGGAAGGGACGUAUUAAUUUUUACUUGUCAAAUCGAGUAAUGAAAGUAAACAUUGAAUAGAUUGUCAAAUUUUAUUGAUUAGUUUACUUGAAAAGAUCGUCGUAAAAAAGGAAAGAAAAUAAACAACAUGAAUGAUUUUAUAAUGUUCUAACUCGAUGAUGAUUAAGAUUUCAAAAAAUCGAAAAAAAUAUAGGUCACGAAAGGAAGAAUUUAUGUUUAAUAUACAUAUGCUUCUUACUCUGGCUCGUUCGGUCGUACAUAAACAUUAAUAAUGUAACAGUGUGUCGAUUAGAGGUUAGCGUCUUCAUAUAUUUUUUAAUGACAGAAGCGUUAUCUCUCGUGAUCAAAUAAAACAAAAAAAAAAAAGAAAAAACAAGAAGGAAAAAAGAUAAGGACGUUCGUUUUUCCAUUACGUGAGCAUCAUUCGUAAUGCUUCACAUGCAUAAGUAGUUGUCGUAAAUUUAACUUUUUCCCGUAUAUCUGAAUAUCCUGGAUUUUCCUGGAUUUUCCAGGCGAGGCGCAUUUUUGCCAUUUAUUGUUGUUAGAAAGUGAACUCUAAGCAGCUUAUUUUAUUAUUCCGCAUUCAUACAUAUUAUUAUAUGCUGUGGAUAUGUAUAUGUAAAAUAAUAUACUGUUCAAAACAAUUAGAGGAUCAUUACUGUGAACUAGUUUUAUCAGCACCGAUCAAAUGAACGGAAAGAAACACAAAAAAAAAAGCUUCCCGAAAAACUUUGUGAAUUGAUUUCUUUUUAUACUUUAUUAUAACACAUUUACUACUCUUCAUUUCUAAAAAAAAAAAAUAAAUAAACAAACAAAAAUUUUUGAAAUUAUAUUUGCGGCGUGGAACGUGGAUAAAGAUUACAAUAUGUAAUCCUCUAAUUGUUCUGAACACUUUAUAAAAGAUGAGAACCGCAGGCCCUUAAUCCGUAGGAUUAGAGGGUUUCCAGGCAAUAAUUCAUUAUUAAAUAUACAUAUGUCACCCAUUGUACGAACGAAAAUAAUUUUCGACCAAUGAGGGGACAUAUCCAUGCCUAUAACUAUUAUUACGGGAAAGAGUUAAAAAUAAUAUUUUCGAUUAUCGAAACAGAUUUUUGUGUAAUAGCCGUUCUCUCGAUGGACAGAGAAGAAAAAAAUUCUUACUUACACUAAAAAAAAAAAAAAAAAAGAAAGGAAGAAUGAUAAAUGCACACACUCACAUGAACACACAUAUACACAUACACACUUCAUGUUGUAAAUCAAAUAGAAUUUCUCCGAAGGAUGAGUGUAACGGAUGAGAACAAUAUUUUUCUACGCAACGUCGAAACUCUUAAUCGUACUAAAUCGAUCGAUAGAGCCAAAAGUGAACUCGAUUGAAAGCCUUCGUAUAAGAAACGCGUGAUCUUCGAACGGGUCAAACUAAAACGGGUUUGCAACAAAAAAAAAACCGAUUGGAAUGUGGCCUAAAGAAUUAUUAUUAUUAUUACAUUAAUACUAUUAUUACUAUUAUUAUUAUUAUUAUUAUUAUUAUUAUUAUUAUUGUUAUUAUUAUUAUUAUUAUUAUUAUUGUUACUAUUACAUUAUUAUAUACGAAGUUUCAAAUUUAGAGUUCUGAAUAUUGAGAAAAAAAUUGCUGCAGUUUCUUUUUUCAUGUAUAUUGCAUUUUGCUAUAUUUGUUUGUAAUUAAUCACAUUCCUAUCGAUUAAAGUCAUUUUUUUUGGGUGUGAAUCAAGCCUUGUUCUUUCCUCGUUCGUCAGCGAAGAACAAAAUGUUUUAGUUUGCUCGGCUUGUCGUCCACUUGGCGUGCAUGCGUGCGUGCGUGUACCACACAACAUACAUUUUAAUGCGUGCGAUUCUAUAAGCGAUUUUUUCGCGAAGGACCCAACGUCGUCGUCGUCAGCGCGCGAACGAGUGAGAUACGAUCGAAGGGAAAUGUGGAAAAGCUACAUAUAUAAAAAAAAAAUUCCUCGACAUAGUACAAAGCAUUUAAAAGCUCAAUUAUAUAUAUUUUUUUUCCCCGAAUAGUCUAGACGAGAGAGUCAUUUGAAAAUUUUACAAGUUUUUUAGUGGGCCGUUUCGAAAAGCUUACCAUGUGACCAUGAAGAAGAGGAAACUUAUAAUUCCCACCACAAAAAGAAAGUUCGUAACACGAAGUAUUUUUCAAUAUAUUUCUUAAUUUUUUUGUGUUUUCUCUCUCUCUCUCUCUCUCUCUCUUUCAAUCUUUCUCUCUCUCUUUUUCUCAAUCUCUCCAAGAUACGAGAAUAUAAUAUCCAAUAAUUAUUCUUGAUACUAUGAAUAAAAUGUAAAAUUUAUAUUGAAAUCAUUUUAGUAGAAUUAUGUGUACUUCGUGGACACCCGGUAAGCAUUAAUUCGAGAAAAAGGACACUGUAAUCAAUCCAUCAAAGGACAAAAUUUUUUGUUCGGACGUAUCCUAAUUUUAUUCUGUUUUCUGGUUUUUUAAUUUUUUUUUUAAUAUUUUAUAUUACUUUUUUUUGCCUUCCUUAUUCCCUUCAACCCACAAAAUCCGCUCCCAUAAAGUUGAACAUUUGUACCGCAGUCUUCCAGGGUACAAAAUAUGCAGUUCUUUCAUCGUCGUGUAUAAAUCAAAAGAAAUACAUGCGAAGAUUUCGGAAGGAAAAGAGGAAGAAAGAAUGAGAGUGAGAGAGAGAGAGAGAGAGAGAGAGAGAGAGAGAGAGAGAGAGAGAGAGGAUCAUUUUAGUAUUGGAGACGUUCCAAAGUACUACUUUCGCAUAUGGAAUUGAGGUUGUGUUCGUUCGCUUAUAUUCGCCUUUUAAACCGAGCCUCGCGUGACAGUAAAAGCCUAAUCGAAAGCCACUCUUCGCAGCUCAGUUUGGAGGCUCGUGUGGAACCCUGACAUGCAUUCGAAUAUGGCGAGAUACUUAAACGUAGUCUAUAUUUGGAUUAAUACGAUCGCGCGAUCGUUCGGUUGACCUUCCAAGAUUUGUAUAAAAAAAAAUUUUUAAAUGAAAAUUUCGUUUCGAAAACAAAAUUUUAUACGAAUGUAUCAAUUCCUUCUUUACAAUUACGAUCACUUCCUAUACCUUUUCUGAAUGAAUCUUUGUCCUUUUAUCGUAAAUCGAUUUAUAGACAUCUAAGACAUCGUCUUUGAUCGGUAUUCAUUCUCAGUUAAUUGUAUUAUAUCGAAAACGACUAUUAUUACGCCUAAGAUCGAGAUAAAGUGAGGGACAUAAAGUGGGGAUAGCGAUAAGCGUUUGCAGCAAAAAAAAGGGAGGGGGAGCCUCGAGGCGAUGCACAAAGUGACCAUAUUUGGUGUUGUUAGAUUACGUUCAAUACGUGGGCGUGAACGCACCCUUGUUACUCGUAACUGAAUCGCUCCAGUUACGUCGUGGUACGCACAUUCAUGAGACUAAUUAAUUUUGUUGGAAGAAGUGCGUUAGAUGAAUAAGAAUAAAAGGAAAAGAUAGAAGAAGAGAAGAAGAGAAAAAGAGAAGGGGGAAAGGAAGAGAGAAAGGUAGGAAGAAUACAUCGACGUCUGGAAAUCGACCUUUAUCGCGCAGAGGAUACCAACAUCCGCAGGAUAACGACUCUGGUGUCCCACCACAGGAAGGGGAAGCGUCUCCUUGCGGAUACCAACUCUGCCUUAUCCCGACUCCACAAUUCAGAAGCUUUUAUCGAUUUCUGAUAAAAAAAAUACGGCAUUUCCUUAGGAUUUCCAUGAAAUCUUUUUACCCAUCUUUUAUCAGCUUUUAUUUCUUCUGUUUAUCAUCAUGUGAUUCUUGUGAUUCCUUUUCAAAAUAUAUACAUACGUAUAUCAAAAUAUUUAUCAUCAAUAAUACGUAUUCGAAAAGUACAAGCUCUCACGGCGGGAAUUUCAAACGUCUUAUACGGAAUAACAUUUAAAUUCUUUCCUUUUUUUGAGGAGGGGUGAAUGUCGGAAAAUGGAGGACAUCCUCGCAUAUAUUAUUACUGCUACUCGUCGUCAAAUAUGUCCAUGCAUAUAUAUAUAUAUAUAUAUAUAUAUAUAUAUAUAUAUAGUCAUUAUUAUUAUAUCUGAAAAGUAGUUUCUGAGAUUUCUCAUACGUCACUAGGUCAGAAUAUACUUUCUAUCAACGAACGAUGAACCGUUGUCAUAGAUACAGUCGAUGGCAAUUUCCGUAUUGCAUAUAUAUAUUGCAUAUAUAUAUAUAUAUAUAUAUAUAUAUAUAUAUAAUAUUUAUAAGAUAUGCUUACAUAAACUGCAAUAAUAUAUAAAUAAUAAUUUGUUUUAUGAGGACUUCGAUAAUCUCAAAAUUUCGUUUUGGAAGAUGAUUAUUUCAUUAAAAUAGACUGUACCGUGAGAUCUCAAACUUAGAAUGAUUCCACACGACAAACGUUACUUGAUUUCCACCUUCCAUUCUAUCUUAAUAAAAUUUUAAUUAAUGAAUCGAGAGGAGAAAGAAACGCAUAACGUCUGCAGAUGCGCGCACGCACCGCAUGCGACGCGCACUUCGAUCGAGUCUCCGCGAUGACCUUGAUUUCUGAAGCCGUGAAAAGAUCCCGUCGUCGUUGAGUCAAUUAAACCAAGCCACGAAGUCAUUGACUUUGCCGUUUCACGGCCAAUUUCUCAUCGACGUUCUAUAAUACGGUAUAUGCACAUAUAUAUAUAUGUACGUUGUCCCGAAAAAUCUUUUAAUGAUCUCACAGCUUCCUUUACAUAUAUCUUUACGAAUGUUAAAUUUGAUUUACACGACAUACUGACUCACUUUUACUUUACGUGCUUGGUAUAUUUGCGCCACGAAAAGAAAACGAUUUCUAACGAUCUAGAAAUGUCUUCGAAGACAAAAAUGAAAAAAUAAAAAACAGAGAAAGAAAGAGAGAGAGAGAGAAAUUUCAAAUAAAACUGAAGAAUUCUUAUCCAAUCAGAAUCGUUUUGAAAGAAAGAAAAAAUUUAAGAAAGAAACACUUAUGAUUGAUCAAUUGUUAAGAUCAAAAAUAUGAAUUGCGAAUUCGGAAACUCUCGAAGUACCGUCGUCCAAUUACAGAGAUGGAAGUAUUCCAAGUAUUAAGUUUAUUUGAGAGAGAGUUAUGGAAGAGGAUCGUAUGGCUGAACGAAGAAUGUUUAAUUCUAUUUCAUUGAUUUCUAAAGAAUAUAUUUCGUCCCUGCGGGUCUCAUCCGUUGCGUUUAGUAUUAUAAAUAAGCAUUCAGUAUCCCUAACUAAAUUGGACUAACAAUGUGUCGUUGUUGAGUUAGGUCGAAUCACGUGACCUCUGGCGUCGCACACGCGUGUGUCCACGCGUACGUUGAACGAACGGGGUUGGACGCGUUUAUGAAAAGAUAGAGCUAAAAGAAGAUGGUAUUAGGAUAAAGAUAGAGGUAGAAAGAGGAGGUUGCAUCCUGGCUGGGUUUUCGUGUCUCGGUGGCUCCAGCGGCGCCACGGGGGUGUCUCUUUCUCUCUCUGCAUGGGGUGAGUCAUGGUGUUACCACCUCUCCUCGUGCCUGGGCGUGGUGGCCACCACUGCAGACGUCUCUCAUCGAUUUCUACAGCCGUGAAACACCAUGGGCCGAGUCUCUGCUUUUCGGCUGAUUCGCGUACGCUCCUAUUCGUUUUUCCUCUCUCUCCCUCUUUCCCCAUAUUACUCUUGGUUCACUUGACAGAAGACUGGAAAUGUAUCAAAAAAAAUGCCAACUCGUCCAGAUUUAUUUAUAAAGUAUAUAUAUAUAUAUAUAUAUAUAUAUAUAUAUAUAUAUAUAUAUGUUGUGAAUGAUAUUAUAGAGAGUGAUAAGAGUUUUUUGUUAAUAUUACGUUAAAUGCAUUAAAUAUUUCAACAUUUUAAGAUUUGAGACAUUUUAUAUGAAAUUUAUUGGAGUAAUCGAGGAGUCAAAAUAAAUAAUGAUAUUCGUAGAAGCUAUUAAGAGAAUCCAAUUGUCUACACAGACGUUAACAGAUGUUAAUGUAUGCGAUUUAAAUGAAUUCUAUUAUUGUAUUCUGUCAUUAUAAUUCUAGAGCUGAUAAGGGACAAUGGAUAGAGUUCGUGGGAUGACAUACGGUUCCACGAUAAAUCAGGCAUCAGGAUACAUAUACCUUGGGAAGGAGAGUAGGUCUUCCCUAGAGUAAAUUUUCCAGGCCUACUACUAUAAUUAGCAGAUAUAUCUCCCUCCUGCAAAGAAGGCAUAUGCCGGGGUUCAGCACACAAUUCUAUCUAACCUCUCUGAAACGAACGUUUGAAAGGCAAACAUAGUAAUGUUAGAGAUAGAACGUGGCCAGUAUGUAGAGCCGCACGUUCGAGGAAACCUUUUCGGUGGUCGAGGACAGCUGUAGAACUCGGAGGAUGUCUAAACGACGGCCAUAUCGUUUCAAAUUCGAACGCUCCCCAUCUGCAGUUCGUCGUGAGUCAUCGGUUGCCAGCCAAACUCAUGUAGGCUCUCUCGUUUUCUCUCUUCCUCAUUCGCCCCAAAAGGGAGCUCUCAGUAAGGCUUUCCUCCUAUCGAGCGGCGAAUCGAAUCUCAGAGACUAACUAGAUACGUAUCAAGUAUAUUAUGUAUAUCUUAGGAAAUUCAUUCUGAAGUAGAAAAUGUCAUGACCUAAGCUCUGAUUGGGUUUUAAUAAUGUACAUUUUGUUGGUAUUGCCUAAUCAAAACUUGGUGCAACUAAUUUUGUUUUUAUAAUUUUUUGUUGCAUCAUCAAUCUAUCUUAUUAAAUAUUAUGAUGAGAGAGUCGAUUAAAGUGAUGUAACAUAUAUUGAAAGUUGAUUAAAGGAGCAUAAGAAUAUUCAUUGUAUAUAAAUGAAAAAAUAACACUUUAUAAAAAAAUAACAAUCUUUAGACUGACCAAGUACACAAAAAUGUCAACAUUUUUUAUCAGCAUCAGUCUUUAUUGAAAGUACGAAGAACAGUUCCUAACUCCACCCGCAAUCAAAGUUAUUUCUAGCGAAGAAAUGUAGGAGUUCACAAAGAUUCGAGUUAUUCGACUAGAUAGUAUAUAUAACGGAGCGACAGGUGUCGCGAUGAAAGCAGGUUCUUCUGACCGAUAUCCAGGAUCGUAUCUUGUCUAUAGCGUAUGUACUAAAAUAAAAUAUUACCGUCGUCGGCAUUUUCAUUUUCUUUUUUAAAUUAUGCGACUAUCUGUGAAAACAUUCACUCGAUAAAUUUUUACCAUUCAACAACAUUUUCUUUUUCAUAUUGAAAAGAUCAUAUUUUUGUGCAUUCAAAUAUUCCCAAUGUAGAACUUAUAUUUUAUAUAGAAAAAAGAAAAAAAAUUCUCGUACUGUUAAUAUGACAUAAUAAAUUUUUUUCUCAUUCUUAUUAUCAUAUUUUUUUAUUCGAAUAAAAAUUAUCUAUUUAAGAAACGCGUAUGAGAAAAAAAAUUUUUAUUUCAGACACAAAUUAUCCGAAAAUCUAGUUACAGUCCUGUCUUCGCUGCUCCUCGAGAUCCGUUUCCAGGCUCCUGCGUUCUAGCCUGGAGCAACGUAUACGAAGAGUUCCAUUCGAGCACUAAAAAGUGCAACGUGCUCGAUAAAUCUGUAUCUCUCGGUCUUUUGUUAGAUAAUUUUUUAUGUUCACGACGAUUUACCGAUCAGUAACAAUGCAACAUUGUCAAAGUUGUUUUUAUAGAAGAAAAAGAAACAAAUAUAUCUACAUUGAAUUCAAUUUCAUGAGAUUUCAACUUGAAAAUAUGUUUUUAAUUACAGCAUACAUCAUAUCAAACAAUGAGAAGAGAAAUCGAGCUCUUAUUUCUCUUCUUCAUCUUAUUCUUCAUCUUUUUCUUUACAAAAAGCAACCAAUGGAAGGCUUUGAACGCUAACCUCUAAACGAACUUGAACUUGGAAAUAUGUAGAACGCAUGCGGUCGUGCCGUUAGACAUGCUUAUCCUACGAGACGUUUUACCACAUUAAUCUGAGGGUCGUAUAAAACCGGCAUAAAGUUUCAGGUGAGAGAGUCAAAUAGUAAAUGCAUACAAAGGUGUCUUCUUAACAACAGGAUUCUUCAGAUAGGUUUGUGCCGAAUGUACAGGUCAAAAUGGUGGUCGAACCUGAACCCCUAUCUUCUGCCAGCAUACACACAUAUACACUAUACGCACGUACGGACAAAGGAAGACAAAGACAUUCUUUUCUUUACUAUAAAAUUCAAUAAGGCUUUAGGAUCGUUCUAAGAAAAAUAUUUCCUUGUCUCUAUUAGUACAAUUGAAUCCUUGAUGAUUUUCCAUAAGAACACCAUAAUCUUUCAAAUAUAUUUAUCGUAGCAUAUUAUAUAUAAUUAAAAAUUUCGUAUACCGUUAUAGUCAAACAAUUAUAACGCCUGCUUGCAUUUCAUGUCAUUAGAUCAUUCCAAAGCGCGUGUUGUCAUAUAUCACGGUCGAAACAUGCAAAUGCUUGCCUCUGCAGGAAUUGUCGAUUAAUAUAUACAUAGUAUGAUCAGCUUAAUCGCGACAUUCUACUUUCCAGUCCAUUUAAGCAGAAUUUACGGAUUCGAUUGAAAUACUGUUGGUAACGUAGUUGGGAUGAUUUAUGUUCCUAACGUUAGAUUCUACAUUUGAGACAGGGAUUCUCAACCUUCUCGAAGUUAAAACAAGAUUAAUUUCUAUAGAUGAUAUUUUUGUACAACGAAAUUAAUAAGGAAUGUUUAAAAAUCUUAAUCAGCUAUUGAUCCCGAUUAGAACUAGUUUUAAUAGAUUCUAAGUCUAAGGGCUCUAAACCCAAUCGUGACGACACUGUUGCCCUCGGUAUUCCCUUCUACACUCCCUCCACUUCCUUACCCGCUCAUUCUAUCCGACGAGUAUAACCUACUCGGUACCACCCAUUCAUCCGGCAGUUUUUGCCUACCGGUUUAACGAACCUGUACACUUCGUUCCAGUUCCAUUCAGCUCGCUCCUUUUUUUGCGCCUCAGCGACAAUUCUCGUCUGCUCGCGAGAUCAUUGCUGAUGAAUGGAGGAGAAUAAGACAAGAGGUAAUAUGACAAAAAAAAAAUCUAAAGAAAUUCUUGAAUAAACACAGUAUCAUGAUACAUCAUUGGAUUAUACAUACCUAAGAAACGUAAUCGAUCCUCCCUACCUGUCGAAACGGAAAUGGCUAUUUAUAGACAACGAAUGCUUCUUGAAUUCUUACGAGUUGCGAGAAAAGAUGGUUAUGAAGUUGAAACGUCCGGAUAUAUCCCCCGAAAGCUUCUUACGUUAAACAGGAAA